AGAACAACCCACAGGGUAGGACACCCAGUCACAGAGCCAGGCCUUACAGAGUCAUCCCAGGGACCGAGAACCAUCAAGAAAAAUGGCAUUCCUUUGUAAAUACCCAUCUGGUCACCUGAGCAACUUUACCACAGGAGAAAAAUGGUGCUGAUGAGGCUAAGUUAAUGGAGGAAAAGGUCUGCUUCGCCCACAACACUGAUGUCUACAAGGAGAAAAGGAGCAGGGAGAGACGUGACCCCUUCUGCAUCUGAAAGCUGAGGUCUCACAGUUUUCUAACACACCAGAAAGAGAAACAAUCAAAGGUGUGGAGGAGGUGAUAAAAGUUCGCUUCCCUCACUCGCUCUCUUUUUUCGCUCUUCUUCCUUCAGUCUCUCUGCAGGUGUCAGCCUUUAUAGGGAGCGGCCCGGUAAAACAAAGAUGGCGCCAACAUCCAGCCCCGUCUGGAUAUAAACAACUUAUCGCGCAUGCGCAGGCUUGUCCCCUUGCCAGGGCGGCCAUAGGUUAUCCGGCGCCCUCCUGUGGUGAACAACAGUACUGCGCAUGUGCGGGUUUGUACCUGGUGUCAAUCUGGCCGGGGCGGUACCAUGCUAAUGGGGUGGUUCAUGCUCUGCCAAUCCCUGGAGGACAAGUAGCAGGGGUGCUAGUGCGGUGAUUCGUGCUCCGCCAAUCCCUGAAAGACAAUUAGCAUAGCCCCAGCCUGCUGUGUAUAUAAGGCGAGCGCUUUUGCCGCUCGAGGUCCCCAUAUCAGCAAUGAGGUGGUCCUGCAAUAAAGGCUGUUGAGAAGAGUCAGACCGUGUUGCAUCUUCCUUGCAGGCCGAGGUGGGCGCGAUAAGCCUUGAACUUCCUUCUGUGAGAAAAUCACAAGGGGCAGUGGGGAGCCGGAAGGCUGGAGAACACAGGUUGCCUUUGCAAAGGGUGCCGCCUGUUCUUCGGGCCUGGUUUCCCAAGCCCAGACUCUGUUCAUAUCCCUGACUCCAUAAUGCAUAUCAAGCACUUGAGUAUGUGCAGCACCUCACUAAAGGGGGCCCAUGAGAGUGGGGUCCUUGCUCUGCAACAUGGCAGCCGCACAGAGUAUUUCUUCUGCAAUGUCUUCCAGUCACUUGGAGCUGGUUCUCUAAGUCAAUGGUUCCCAACCUGUGCACCACAACCCCUACAGGAGUGGCUUGUCGGACAUCCUGCACGUCAGAUAUUUACACUGGGAUUCAUAACAGUAGCCAGACUAUAGUUAUGAAGUAGCAUCAAAGUAAUUUUACUUGGGGGUCACCACAACGCGAGGAACCGUAUUCAAGGGCUGCAGCAUCAGGAAGGUUGAGAACCACUGCUUUAAGGAGGGACUUUUGCUUCUUUUCCUGUUCCAUUUGGAGAGGCUAUUGGCCAGGUCUGAACUUAACUAAAAAUGCACGCAGGGCCGGGCAAAUGUUAACUAUUGAAUGACUACAAUUCAAAGAACUCACUGAGAAGAAAGAAGCGAUUGAACAGCUCGACCAAGGAGACGCAUAAGGUUGCUUUCUUGAAGGUUAAAACUCCCUCUUGGUGCCGUUGGUGAGUAUUUGAAAGACCUCACUGGGCAAGAUGGGGUCUGCAUUCAGACCGGAUAGUGCUUUAUCCCCACUUUAGGGAGGAGUAAAUUGAGGCCUAAGGAAAUUUAGAAACUAGAAUAAUCAAAAUGCUUCUAAAGAGUGAGACAGAACCGGAAAGUCACUUCACUAAUUCAAACAUCUCCAUUCUCAGUGAGCUCUGAUUAGGGGCAUUCGCUGCUGUGUGACAUUCGCAUUUACUCUCUGCUGUGGUUGUGGAGUGCUGGGGUGAAACUCGGUCUUUCAUAUGAGAGGACAACACUUUACUCCUGAGCUACCUCCUGUCUAGCUUGCUGUAGAGCAUCUUAAUAGCUCCCCAGGGAGCUAAUGAAGCUGUCCGAUCAUUAGGCCCAUUUUAUGGAUUCAAAUUAUGAAGGGCAGGGAUGAAAGGGCUGGGAACGCCAGCCGCUAACCUGUUCAUCCUACAGGAUUCAUGGAUGUUGUUGCUUUCUCUUUCCUCAGUUCGUAGUGAAAUCCUAGCUAGUCCAUAAUCUCUCUUUUUCUGUCUUCUCUACCCCUCUUCAUUCUUUCUUCUCUUGUCUACAAACAAUACACACACACACACACACACACACACACAUACACACAGACACACACGCUCACAUGAAAAAGAAUGAAGGAUGGAUGGAUAGACAGACAGACAAUAUUAAUUCUUCAUUGGUCAUAGAGUCUUGCAGAUGCAGUUUUGGGAGCUGUCCAUAGUUUUGCAAGUAGGGGGGGCAGUAGCAAUGUCAGUAGCAGCAUUCCAUUUCAGGAUAAAGACACCAACAAUGGCUGUUGGAGAGUGGAAUCAGCUCCAAGUUGAGUAAUAACAUCCAGGCUGGCUGGCUAAGUCACCACCUUAAGCGGUUGGUGUGUACCGCAAUCAAGGUUCAUCACUAGCAUCGUGACAGAGAGAAACCCGCGGACCUCCCAUAGAACUUUUCAUGUCAGAAAGCUACCUACUUCACAACUAUUUAUUUGCUACCUCCUAUCACGCUUGUUUGCCUCAUUUCAGGGGAUUCACUCCCACCUCCAUCGACAUCUCAAUACACUGGAGAGGGCAGGAUACCAGUCUUGGGAGGGGAAAAUCAUUUCCAUCCCAGAGAAGCAAGUAGCUUCUGUACAGGAGACUGGUGCCAGACAGAAACACUUUAGGAAAAGGCCCAAGAUCUUUCUCAUGGGUUUCCAGAGCCAGGGAGCAACUUAACAGUGUGCCAAAGCCAGGGUCUUGUAGGGUCCAUGAAGGAGGUCUCUCCCUGUAGACAGGCUCCUCACUCUCCAGUGUGUACAGCCCCGUUGACUUUUUUUUUUCCGAGCUGGGGACCGAACCCAGGGCCUUGCGAUUGCUAGGCAAGCGCUCUACCACUGAGCUAAAUCCCCAUCCCGUCCCCGUUGACUUUUGACAGCUACUCCCAACUAUCUAUCUCUCUCAUCAGGGUACUGGAUGGGUAUAGAAAGUCAGGGUAUUCCAGGAGCAAGCCUGAGCCCCACAUUAGCCACUCAACUCCAGUGACUAGUGAGAAAAGAAAGGGGAAUCAUGUACUCACCUUGCAGAGGCACCGGGCAUGGAGUGUGGACUGUGAGAGCAGGUUCCUUGUACCCAGCUUCCAAGACAACCAUUCUAUUCUCUUGGCUACCCAGUAAGGAUAAUAACACACGCAUCACUGGGGAUUUCUAGGACAGGUGAAGGCAAUCACAUCCAACAAUUCUGCGCAGACCCUGACAUACCAUAAGCCACAGUCACUGAGCACUUUCUAAACAUCCAGAUGGAAAAUAUUUACUUGUUGUGUGCCAUGCUGUGUUGGCCCCAACUGCUGGGAGCAGCCAUUGUCUAUAUGGAAAUCAAUGUGACAGUGUUCUACUAAGUCUUUAUUUACAGGAACAAGUAAGUGGCUGGCAAGAUGUGGCUGUCAUGUGUAGCUUUCUGACACUUGCUUGUUGGUGUUCCUAAUGGCUAAAUGUUGGCAGUGUCGAUGAUGGGCAUCGUGAUAAUGAGCCAUUAUACACAGAGAAUUGUGGGUAAAUAACAAGACAUGGUCUCUAUCUUCUGGUAACCUGAAAGUGUCAGGGGAAGGGAAGCUUCUCUUCAGAAACCUACAUAAGGUCCACUCUACCCAAAAGGGAUAUUAAAAUUAACAGCUGUAAAAUGGAGAGCUGUAGGAGUCACUGGAGUUACUCAUUUUUUGUUUUGUAAAAUCCCAACUUCACCCUAGGAAAAGUUAAUCAGAACGACGUCCCACUUUCCAGAUGUUAUAUUCCAUUUAGAAACUUUUAUUUAGAAACUUUCACCUUUUCCCAGGAAAGAUCCAAGUGGACAGUGCUGUCACACACGGAAAGCAACUGGAGUAGCCCUCCGUGAAAUAGAGCAUCGCAGAGAAGGAAGCUGGGCUGCUUGGUCUGCACUCAGCCACUUCGCUCAAGUCAAUGCUGGGGCAGUCAGAAGAGCAGCUUGAUGUGUUCGGAGAGGGCUCUUGAACUCAGUCAGCAGCCUUGAGAAGUCACAAGUGGAACAGAUCAUCCAUAAUGCCAAGGCGGAACUCCAGAGAUGUCUCCAGCAGCUGAGGGAGGGUGAAAAGUGUGUUAAAGACCACCUACCACCAUCUGCCUGGCUAUCGUCUCUCUCUCUCUCUCUCUCUCCUCUCUCUCUCUCUCUCUCUCUCUCUCACACACACACACACACAUCUAUACCAGUCAAUAUCAAUUUAUCAUCUAUCGUCUAUGUCUAUUACCAUAUCCUCUCUCUCUCUCUCUCUCUCUCUCUCUCUCUCUCUCUCUCUCCUCUCCCCCCUCUCUCUCUCACACACACAUCUAUACCAGUCAAUAUCAAUUUAUCAUCUACCGUCUAUGUCUGUCUACCAUAUCAUCACUCUCUCUCUCUCUCUCUCUCUCUCUCUCUCUCUCUCUCUCUCACACACACACACACACAUCUAUACCAGUCAAUAUCAAUUUAUCAUCUAUCAUCUAUGUCUAUUACCAUAUCAUCUACCUCUCUCUCUCUCUCUCUCUCUCUCUCUCUCUCCUCUCCCCCCUCUCUCUCUCACACACACACAUCUAUACCAGUCAAUAUCAAUUUAUCAUCUAUCAUCUAUGUCUAUUACCAUAUCAUCUACCUCUCUCUCUCUCUCUCUCUCUCUCUCUCUCUCUCUCCCCCCUCUCUCUCUCACACACACACAUCUAUACCAGUCAAUAUCAAUUUAUCAUCUACCGUCUAUGUCUGUCUACCAUAUCAUAUCUCUCUCUCUCUCUCUCUCUCUCUCUCUCUCUCUCUCUCUCUCCUCUCCCCCCUCUCUCUCUCUCACACACACACAUCUAUACCAGUCAAUAUCAAUUUAUCAUCUACCGUCUAUGUCUGUCUACCAUAUCAUAUCUCUCUCUCUCUCUCUCUCUCUCUCUCUCUCUCUCUCUCUCUCUCUCUACCUGUGCCUCUAUAGCUAUAUAUUAUCUACCUCAACUAGACUUCAACAUCAGUGAGAUCAGUUACAUGCUAGGUGUUAGACAGUUGCAUCACCUAGCCCUUCCUCUUCUGAGAAGACCUGAACCAAGCUUGAUUUAAUAGGAGGCCAGCUAUUUUCCAAACUUACUUAUCUCUCCCUGGCUGAACAGGUAGUGUCAGCAUUUCCUGGACACACCUGCUAAGAGACACAAAUGUAAGUUAAAAGUGGAGCUCAUGCCCACUACAGGACACUAGCAGAAGUUCCAUGGAAGGUUCACUGUGUGGCUGUCUCGGAGGGCCUGAGAAAGCAGCUAGACACGCUGAGUUCCGGUCAAUGACUGGUAUUUACCAAAUUCAAAUUCUUUAGGAAAGGACAUUAAGGUUGGGGGUAUAGCUUAGUGGCAGAGCCUAGGUUAAAACAGGCCACACUUUGGUUUCAGAAACUCACAGUAGCCAAAGUAAAAGGCAGUGACUCAGAAGACCAAGGCACUUUGCAUGCACUUCUGGUAUGUAUUCCCCCCUUACUUCCACCUCUUCUGGUGGACUUUUCCCCUUGGAAACCGCCUAGGCUGUGCCUUUGCCCCGCCCCCAAUGCAUAUCACCAUUUACCUCAUAGGGCUUUGUUCCUCCUCCUGCUCCAUUUCCUCUGAGAGAUGCAGGCCUUCCGUUUCUCUCUGUCACCCCCACCCUCCAGAACAGUACCCAGGUUCACCAACAUGACUAGGUGUCCUGUACUCUCGAUCCCUCCUCCCUCCUCUCCUGAUGUUUGCCAUUAAGCAGGCUUCUGGGAGGUGGGGGUGGGGGGGGCGGACUUGGGGCUUGGAGUUCUAAGCCCCAGCCCAAACUUAGCCAGGACUCUAAUUUUCAAAGACAACCACAAAAUGAAUAUCAAAGAAUCUGCAGAAUCCACAUUGGGAAACCUGUCAGAAAAUUGUUGGGAAAAUAAAGUGAAUCAAUAGA